UACGUAGGGGGCUAGCGUUGUCCGGAAUCAUUGGGCGUAAAGCGCGUGUAGGCGGUCCGGUAAGUCCGCUGUGAAAGCCCGAGGCUCAACCUCGGAACUGCCUUCGAUACUGCGGGUCUCGAGUCCGGGAGAGGUGAGUGGAAUUCCUAGUGUAGAGGUGAAAUUCGUAGAUAUUAGGAAGAACACCAGUGGCGAAGGCGGCUCACUGGCCCGGUACUGACGCUGAGGCGCGAAAGCGUGGGGAGCAAACAGG
rnacentral:rRNA from 1 species